UCAAAAGUUCUAGCAGAAGCGUCAACAACAAUAUCUUUUUGCUCAGAAUUGGGUUGGAUCAUCCUACCUUUUAAGUGGUCAUCAAAAGGCGUGUUUGGCCCAAACGCAUCGCUAGACCCUGAUUUCUGCCCAUUCGUUAGCCCACCUCGAUUGGCUUGGGCCCUUGUCGCGAGCAGUGGACCUGGAUAUUUUCAAAUAAGAAUUAGAAUUUUCAUUCAAUAAUGUACCCACCAACCUUUUUCGAGUCCCAUCUUCUGAUUUCUUCCCCCUAAUAAGGACUUUUCAGUAUUUUCAUUUAAAACUUCUUUCCCAUUUUUCGUCAAAAUCUAAUACCUCUCCCCUUUCCCCAAAUCACUCCCCAAAUCAUCUGAAUUGAGAGAUAAUGCAUGAAAUCUCGAUCCCAAAAAAUCCUCCCUGUUUCCAGUCUUUUCCAUGAAUGUUUUGCUCACAUGAGUUACGCUUGGACCUCCUCUCCACCAGCAUCCAAGGACCAUAUUCAUCGCUUCCGACCACCGAAUCAACAACUAUUCGUGAGGUUCCAAUCGCCGGAGCAUUUCCUCCCAAAUUAUUCCCUGUUGCUUGUAUAUGCGGACAGCCAUCCUUGGAGUGACCAUACCGUCAACACGAGAAGCAGAAAACCGGUAAGCUUUCGUACUCGAUUCCUUGAAGGUUUCCAUUGAUGAGAAGGAAUCAGUGGUUUCUCCAAAUUGAUAUAUACUGUCAUACGUGCAUAUUGUCCUCUUGUUUGACUGUCUAUACUAAAAUCAAAUUUGGUUACCAUCCCCACCAUUCCCUCAAUUUCCCAUAAGACCUCUUUUUUGUAGAGGUAGCUAGGCAGUCCUGGGAGUCUAAUCCAAGCCAGAACAUUACUGGGAUAGAGAUUCAUUGAAUUGAAAUCAAUAGUCCAUGGUUGCACCAUCAAAUACUGUCCGAAGAUAAUCCACGGUCCCUGUGAUAAAACCUUCUCAUAAUCCUCAGAAAUUUGAAAUUUUGCUAAGAAAUAGCCAUUUUCGAUAUCCAUCAUUUGAAAGGGUUAAGAUGGUCUCCAAAGUCCAUAAGUCUUAUUUUGUCGAGUUGUAAAACCAAUAUUCCUUUCCAACAACAUGAGAAUCACGGAGGUGGACAUGUUUUAACUAAUAAUUUUUGAAUUCUAUCCGAGAAAUCAAUAGCAGGAAUGCCAUUGACUAUCGACUUCUUAACAUCACCUUCUAGAAAGGAGAAAACCUCAUUGGCUGCGUUCGAAUCACUCUCCCCAUUAGAAACAGUGGAGCCUUUGCCCAGAACCAUAUCUUUCCAGGACAGGGGUGGUACUGGUGUUGAGCCGACAGCAAUCACAUCCUUGAAACGAACCUUCUUGGUGUUUGGAUCACCAGAUCAUCCCUUUUUCCAUUGUUUUCACAGUUCAGCCUGUUGUAUUUCAUUUGUGUUAUUGUAAUAACUCUAUUUUACAUCUAUAAAAUUAACACAAUUAAAAAAAAAUUAACACAAUUUUUUUUACUUCAAUUUUUUAACAAAUUGUAAUUAUCAAAAUUUUUUCUUAUAUAUUAUGCUUAGAUAACUUUAUCUUUAAAAUUAACAUAAUUUUUUUAACUAACAAUUCUAAAUUAAAAUAUAAUUAUUUUUAAAAUUAAUUUAAUAAUAUGAUAGAAAAUAAAAGAUAUUCUUACUGUAUAUAUUUUUUUCUAAACUCAUACUUAUAUAUAUUAUAAAUUAUAAUAAUACUAACUAAACUAAAAUUUCAAUCCAACAUCAAACUUAAUUAUGUUUGUUAAUUAUUUUGAAGAAAUAAUAUGCGAAACUCAAACGGGACAGACUCCUAAACGGAAGCAAAAGCAAGGUUAAAAUAUGCUAUUAGUCCUUCGGUUUUGAUAAAAUUUGAGAUUUAAUUCUUGUACUUAAAAAUUUAAAAAUUAAAUUUUUAAAUUUUUUAUUUAAAAAUCUCAAUUUAUUCUUUAAAUUCGUAAAUAUUAUUUUUAUCAAAAUUUGUUAAUUUAGAACUUUAAUUAGACUAUUCUCAUAUAACGUGGCAUAUGAUUAACAAAAAAAUAAAUAUGUUAAAUUAAAAUUUUCUAACAUAAGCUGUAAAGAAUAAUAACUGAAUUAAAAUUUUUAAAUUAAAAAAGAUGAUUAAAAUUUUAACUUUUAAAAUAUAGGAACUAAAUGUUAUUUUUUAUAUAAGUAUAAAGACUAACAAUACAUUUUAUCCCACAAGUAAAAUGUCACAAGAGAAUAUAUAUAUAUAUAUAUAUCGAAAUUUAGAUUAACUUUUAAGGGAAUUUAUUUGAUAUAAAUUUUAGAAAAUGAAUGGGAGUUUGGAUGUAAAUCUAAUUUUUUAAUGUUCUAUAAGUUCUUUAUAAGAUUGAAAAUCAUAUUUUUGUUGUGUAAUAUAUUUUCUUUUUUGUUUUUCAGAUUUUUUAUUUCUAUUAAUAGUAGAAGAUGACUCUUCUGAAGAAGUUUCUUCUUCCUCAUAUAAAGUUAAAAUUAUUUUACUAUUACCAUAAUACAAAGCACCUAAAUCUAUGUCUAACUAUAUUAUUGUUAAUAAUAACCUGUUCUAAUUUAUUAUUAACUUCAGAUAAGAUUUUUUAAGAUUUGUUGUUCAAAUCUAAUUCCUUAAUAUCUCCUAAAUGAUUUACCUUUUCUUCUAUAUUACUAACUUUAUUAUAUAAUUUAUUAUAAUAUAUAGAGGUUAUAUCCAUUAAACUAUUAAAUCCUUUACUAAGGGUCGAAAGAUUAUUUUCUUGUUUACAAUCUAUAUGCAUAAUAUGAUUGUAGAUUUUAUCUUUAUAUAAACAAUCUGUUUCUUCCAUGGUAUUUAUCUAUGGUACCUAAAACCGUCUGUUAUGUUAUUAUGUCUUAAAUACAAAGGCCAAACGUCUCUUACUUAGACUUAAACAGGCAAAAGUAAGACAGAAUAACGGAUAUAUGAGUUUUAAGAUAAAUAACCACAGAAUUAACUAAAUUGUAAAUUAAAGAUAAGAACUUACAAUGGAUAUUAUGAUAUCAGUCUUUCCAAGAAUCGUUACUUCGAGGGCCUCUGAUACCAAUUAUAGGGAUAUAGGGAUGCGAAAGAUAAUUUUUAUUAAAUCUGAAGGAUGAUUUUUACAAAGAGAAUACUCAAAGUAAAAUAGAAGAGAACUAAACUAUUUUUCGAUGCUUUGUUUAGGCUUCAUACAUGGCUAUUUAUAGCAAAAUUCCUAAAAUUUAUUUAAUUUUUUCUUCAAUCCUGAACAGUGUUUCUAAUAAUGAUCAAUUUAUUGUAGCUUCCACAUAUCUUGGCAAAAUUUAUUGUGGCUUCCACGUAUUCUUGCAUUUAUCAUCUUUUUGUUUGUACAUAGAUUCCUUGCUUUGUAAGUUACAUUCUGCCUUGAAUUUCUUCCAUGUGGCUAGCUAUUUUGUCUUUAUCCUUCUUGGAUAUUAUCGAGAUUCCAAGUCUCUAUUUCAUCUAAAUGUAAUGAUUCUGGUGACAGUCUUGGUGAAUUCCAAGUCUCCCACGUGUUUCUGAUUUCAUCGAUUAUGUGCGAUGGAUAAUCAUCAAUCUCUAUAUUAGCUAUCUUUUUUAACAGCUUUAAAGAUUCUUCGUCUCUAUUUUUCUGGAUAUUUCCAAUGUCGUCAGCCACUAUCCUUCUUCCAUCAGUCCAGAAUUUAUAAGUUUGAUGUUGAAGUAUAUGCUGAGCUGUUGUUAUCAAAUCAAUUCCUGUUUGGAUUUGAUAAUAAGUAAAAUUAUUAUAACACUUGUUAAUGUUUUUUGUCAAGUGUUCUUUGUUUUUUUUGACAGCUGAUGACUUGGGGCUUCUAAUCAUUCUUUGAAUAAUUCAUAUUUAAUAUGGCUGAUAAAAUCUUUAUUUUUCAGCAAUACCAAUAAGACUACUUAUUUGUAUAUAGAAAUAAUAAUAAAAAUCAUCUUGAUUUACUAUUUCUAAUAAUAUAGUCUUAAUAAUUGCAGGAAAAUCUUUUAGUAAAUUAAAAGAAAAGUUUUGAACAACUAUUUCUUUAACAAAACCCCAUACAAUACUGCUUAUAUCAAAUGGUUCAUGAUUAAGUCUAAACUUUAUAAUAGGAGUUUCUACUCCUAAUUCAUUCAUAAAAACAUAUGCUUGUCAAAAAAAUUCAGAAAAAAGUCUUUUGAAAUUGAGUUUGCUGAUUACAAACAAUUUUAUUUAUUUUUGUAAAAAAAUUUAUUGGUAAAAUUUUUCUAGCUUUAUUAUAUAAAUAUAUUCUAAAUACUUUAUUCAUAAGAGGACUAUUUGUUCAUUUAUGAAUAAAAUAUUAAAAUAUAUCAAGAUGAUUAUUUAUCUCCUCAAUAUUCAUAUAUUCUAUUUCAAGCUUUUCCCAAUCUCUAUAUAAAAUUGAUUUUAAUAAUAAUUCAUGAGCUUCAUUUUCUUUAGUUGUUUUUUCAACUAAGAAUUGUGAAAACUUUGUAAGAGCUCUUCUAAAAUUUACUCUUUGUUCUAAAAUAUGGGUUUUUCAUAUUUCAUUGAUAAAUUUAUAAAUUUCACUUGGUAAUCUUGGAUUAUAAAAAUCUUUUAUUUCUGGAAUUUGUUGUUGUUUCAACAAAUUUUCUGCUCCUUUGAUCAUUUCACAUAACUGGCUUGAAAUGCCGAAUUUGGAUCUUGGGACCAAGGGUAUUGACUUACCAUACUUAGUGUAGAAAAUAAUUGAGAUCCAACUGGUGGUCUUACUAUUGGAUAGGGAAUAUAAUAUCCUUAGUUAGAAUAGAAUAAUGGCUGUGAAGAUGGCUUAAUAAAUCCUUGAUUAGGAGUUAUUGAUUUCCCUUUAUUGGGCUUUUUAUGAACUGUGGUCCAUUCUCCAACUUGUUCUAGAGGUUUUUUACCUCUAUCCAUAAGGCCUACUAAGAUAGUCAGUAAUGAUAUUAUCAGUGCCUUUUACAUAUAAAACUUUAAAAUUGAAAGUACAUAAUUCAUUAUACCAUCUAAUUCUUCUAGGUACUGUUUCCAAACUUUUGUUAGUAAAGAAUUGUUUAACCGCCUGAUUAUCGAUUUUUAUGAUAAAUUUGUCAGGUGCUAAAUAUAUAAGAAAAGUUUUUAUUCCUUUCCUUAUUGCUAAUAUUUCUUUUUCAUAUAUAACAUAAUUAAUUUCAUUUGGUUUAAAUUUUCCUGAACUAUAUCCACAUACUAAUUCUUCAUUAUUUAAUGUUAUAGCUUUUAAAAUACAUCCCCAAUAAUUUUGUGAUGCAUCUGUUUCUAAAAUUAAUUUAUCACAUUGUUUAGGUAAAUAAACCUUUGGAGUAUAAUUUAUUUCUGCUUUUAGAUUUUUUAUAAUUUCUGAAUCUUUUUUAGACCAGUUAAAAGGUUUAUCCUUUUUUAACUUUUCAUAUAGUUUGCAAAUUUUUUGAGAUACAUUAGGAAAGAAAUUUCUUCCAUAAUUGACUACUCUUAAAAAUUGUUGAAGUUAUUUUUUAUCUUCAAUAUUUUCAGGAAAUUCUUUUAUUUUUAUUAUAAUAUGAUCUUGUAGUUUAAGACUAUCUGUUGAUAAAUUUAAUCCUAAAAAUUUUAUUUCUUUUAUUUCUAAUUUUAUUUUCUUAGGACUCAAAAUAAUUCCAUGUUUUAUGAAUUCUUGAGAAAUAAUAUUUAAAUGUUUUCUAUAUUUUUCUAGUGUAUCUGAAAAUAUUAAGAUGUCAUCUAUAUUGACUACACAAAAUUUUUUAUAUUUAUUAAAUAUAGAAUCCAUCCAUCUUUGGAAUAUCUGAGGUGCAUUACAUAACCCAAAUAACAUUACUCUCCAUUGAUAAUGACCAUUAGGUGCACUAAAUGCUGUUGAAGGCUUAGAUUUUUCUGUUAGCAUUAUUUGCCAAAAUCCUGAUUUACAAUCAAAUUUACUAAAAUAUAUUGCUUGGUUAGCCUGAUUAAUUAAAACAUCUUUUCUUGGGAUAAAAUAUCCAUCAAAAUUAAUAUUUUGGUUUAGUCUUUUAUAAUUAAUUACUGUUCUAGCUUUUCCCCUUUUUAUUUCAGCAUGGUUUCUUACCAUAAAGGCUGGACUAGAAUGUGGGCUAUUAGUUUUUUCUAUUAAUCAUUUUUCUAAUAAUUCUUUGAUUUGUGUAUCAAAUUCAUCUAUAUCUUGUUUAGUAUAGAUUAUAGGUUUAACUCUAAUAAUUUUAUUAGGAUUUUCUAAUUUUAUUUCAUAAUAUCUCGCACUAUUUUGUCAUAAUUUUAAUGGUUCUUUACUAAAAUUAUCUUCUAAAAUUUUAAAAAACCAAUGACUUGUUUCUAGUUGUUUAAUUUGUUCUUUUUUUAUUGGUGUAAAUCCUUUAUCACACACAAAUUUAUGAUUUUCUACUAAAGGUAUUUCUAUAAAAGUUUUUUCUACUGAUAAUAUUACUAAGUUUUUAUCAAUAGAAAAUGGUAAAUGAUUAUAUAUAAAAUUAUUUCCUAAUAAUAUGUCUCCAUGCAUUUCAAGAAAACACAAUAUUUUAGGAAUUAUAAAUCUUACAUUAUUUAUGUAAAUUGGUAUAUUUCUAGCCUUAAAUUGAAUUAUGGUUUCUUUACCAUCUAUUCUUAUUGCUCUAAUUGGAUUUUUCAUUAAUUUUCAUUUUUCUACAGGAAUGACAUUUUCUCUACAACUACUGGUGGUAGCUCCAGUAUCUAACAAAGCAUGUAAAGAAUAUGUUUUAUAUUCUCUAAAUUGAAAUGUUAUUUCUAUAUAUGUAUAAUAUUUCCUAGGUUGAAAAUUUGAGAAUGUAAUAAUAUCAUUUUUUCCCAUUUUCAUUUGUUGAAUAAUUGUAGAAGAUUGUAUAUCUUCUAUUCUAGUAUUUCUAGAAUUUCUACUAGGUUCAGUAGGAAAAGUAGGUAUUUGAACUGUUUUCAUUUCUAUUGGUGUUGAACUUAUAUUAUCUUCAUCUUCCUCUGUUUGAGUAUUUGAAGGUAAUACUAAAUUAUUAUUUGGAUUGGUUAUAGGAUUAUUUUUAAAAUAUAAUCUAUCUCCUCAUAACAUAUAUUCUAUAGUACUUACAGGU
rnacentral:lncRNA from 1 species